AUCCAGUCGACGAGUCCCAAAUAGGACAAGACGCACGUCCUGGAU
rnacentral:hammerhead_ribozyme from 1 species